GGAUCUAGGAAUGUGGGCGCCGGGGCCGAAGGCAUUAUUGCCAACAAAAAAAUUCUUUUACAGGUGACAAGCGAACCUUUGGCUCUGCUGCUUCUCUUGCCUAUGAAAGCGUUUCUGCUAAAGCGCUGCUUCAGGAGUGGGGUGCUCCGCUGGUGUCUAUGGGAUGUGGACGUUCGGAGCGAGACUUGUAGAUGGAGGAGCAGGUGCAUGAGAUAGAGACGAGGCAUCUGAAGGACCUCUGCACACUUGCAUUAAGCCCUGGCCAGCGUGGCACUGUGCGUCCCAGCCCGGCCUCUGCAUCCUGAUGGCUGUUGUCACACUCACUCAAACUAUCUGGAAAAAUAAACUUUAUUGACUUCAUUUUCA
rnacentral:lncRNA from 12 species